GACGAACGCUGGCGGCGUGCUUAACACAUGCAAGUCGAACGGUGAAGGGAUCAGCUUGCUGGUUCUGGAUGAGUGGCGAACGGGUGAGUAACACGUGAGUAACCUGCCCCCUUCUUCUGGAUAACCGCAUGAAAGUGUGGCUAAUACGGGAUAUUCUGGGUCUGUCGCAUGAUGGGUCUGGGAAAGAUAUUGUUUCGGUGGGGGAUGGGCUCGCGGCCUAUCAGCUUGUUGGUGGGGUGAUGGCCUACCAAGGCGGUGACGGGUAGCCGGCCUGAGAGGGUGGACGGUCACGCUGGGACUGAGACACGGCCCAGACUCCUACGGGAGGCAGCAGUGGGGAAUAUUGCACAAUGGGCGCAAGCCUGAUGCAGCGACGCCGCGUGAGGGAUGGAGGCCUUCGGGUUGUAAACCUCUUUCGCCAGUGAAGCAGGCCUGCUCCUUGUGGGUGGGUUGACGGUAGCUGGAGAAGAAGCGCCGGCUAACUACGUG
rnacentral:rRNA from 1 species